rnacentral:rRNA from 1 species
AACCUGGUUGAUCCUGCCAGUAGUCAUAUGCUUGUCUCAAAGACUAAGCCAUGCACGUCUAAGUACAAACUAAAUGAUGGUGAAACUGCAAAUGGCUCAUUACAACGGUUAUGAUGUACCCGGGAGUUCCGAUGGAUAUUUCCAGUAACACUAGAGCUAAUACAUGCUCCUGCGUUUAUUAGUUUCGCACAGUCCGUCGCUGAGUCAUGGUAAACAGUUGAUCGACUCGACGUCCCGGAACAGUUUCCGCCCCAUCAGCUUCGAUGGUUGGGUAUUGGCCUACCAUUGCAACAACGGGUAACGAGGAAUUAGGGUUUGAUUUCGGAGAGGGAGCCUGAGAAACGGCUACCACAUCUACGGAUGGCAGCAGGCGCGCAAAUUACCCAAUGCAGACACUGUGAGGUAGUGACGAGAAAUAAUAAAGCGGGACUUCUGUUUCGCUAUUAUAAUGAGGAAUAACCA